rnacentral:misc_RNA from 1 species
GAUGAAGAACGUAGCGAAAUGCGAUACGUAAUGUGAAUUGCAGAAUUCAGUGAAUCAUCGAAUCUUUGAACGCAUAUUGCGCUCUCUGGUAUUCCGGAGAGCAUGCUUGUUUGAGUAUCAGUAAACACCUCAACUCCCUUUUCUUUUUUGAAAUUGGAGCUGGACUUGAGUGAUCCCAACGCUUUCUUCCAAGAAAGUGGCGGGUUGCUUGAAAUGCAGGUGCAGCUGAACUUUUCUCUGAGCUAUAAGCAUAUCUAUUUAGUCUGCCUAAAAAACAGAUUAUUACCUUUGCUGCAGCUAACAUAAAGGAGACUAGUUCUUGUGCUGACUGAUGCAGGAUUCACAGAGACAGCUUGGGCUGACUUUGUAAACUCGAUCUCAAAUCAAGUAAGACUACCCGCUGAACUUAAGCAUAUCAAUAAGCGGAGGA